GGAGAGUAACAGAAAUACACAGAGGGAGUGAGGCUUCCUAAUCUCCCACAUUUGUUUAGUGAGCAUUCUAGAACCAACUGAACAGCUCUUGUUCAUGUGUUUAAGCAGAGUUUUAACAGAAGAUGUACUUCUGCAAAUACCUGGAGAUGUGCAGUGGUCCUUGUGACAGGAAGAUAAUAAGAGGUCAUCAUAUGACAAGGCAUAUGAUGUUAUUUUUAUUCACUAGAGCUUAGUGUUGUCUAUGUUCCUGAUUUAUUGAAAAGUACUAUUUAAUGAAUGUUCCAGUUUUCUCCAGCUGAAUUUCAGUGUUUAAAGUCACCCUGAUAAUGUUUAUAACAUAGACUAAUCUGUUCCUGUUUUUUCACUUCUGAAUUCAAAAGAAUUGUUUCCUCAGCUUUUGAUAAAAACUCUUAAAAGCAUAUUUUCUGUUUCUCUUAGAAGACUGUAACUACAGCUUCUAUGAUCACCACUAAGACACUACCUCUUGUACUGAAAGCAGCAACAGCAACCAUGCCUGCCUCUGUUGUGGGUCAGAGACCUACAAUUGCCAUGGUGACUGCCAUCAAUAGCAGCCAGAAAACUGUCCUUAGCACUGAUGCACAGAACACGCCAGUCAACCUCCAGACCACAAAUAAAAUCACUGGUCCAGGAACAGAGGCAGUCCAAAUAGUGGCAAAAAAUACAGUCACAUUGCAGGUUCAAGCUACGCCUCCUCAGCCCAUCAAAGUGCCACAGUUCAUCCCUCCUCCUAGACUCACACCUCGUCCAAAUUUCCUUCCACAGGUGAGUCUGUCCAAAUCAGUCACAGGUGAAGGGGACGGUGAAUCCUUGGUAAAGAAAGCAAGAGAUAUAAAAGGAACAAACCACAAGGGAAGGUAGACUGUGUGCAACUCUGAGAAAUAUAACUAUGAUUUCAAAAGACCAGAUCUUCAAAGCCUUUAGCAAUAUUUGAAUUUUACUCCAGAUUAAAUCUUCAGCAAUGGAAGAAUGUUUUUGGUUUGUCCUGUCAGUCCCCAGCAGUUGUACAAGGACUGAAUAAAAUAAGAUGAUCAGUUCCUUGUAAUUUCUUAGUGUUUGUGAUGUGGUAUACUUUUAAUGAUGUAUUCAAUUGGGAAGGAUAUAUAUAUAUAUAUAUAUAUAUAUAUAUAUAUAUAUAGAGAGAGAGAGAGAGAGAGAGAGAUAGAUAUAGAUAUAGAUAUAGAUAUGGAUAUGGAUAUGGAUAUGGAUAUUUUUUCUUCGUGUACUCUGUGAAUGCACACUAAUGGAGAGGCUGCGCCUGCGCAGGUCCCAACGGAAACUCUUCCCAAGCUGAAGUUUAAAUUUUGGCGGUAGCCACGCCCCUCCGUUCCCGGAGGGCAUAUAAGGCAGCCCUCGGCGUCUCCUCCCCAGUUCCUUUUUUCCCGCCGCAAGGUUCACUUCGGAUUCUCAUGUCUACGACUCGCUUCAAGCGCUGCACUCAGUGUGCCGCUAAAAUUCCUGAUUCCGACGGCCACGCCAAGUGCCUCUACUGCCUCGGAGAGGCACAUGUCGUCGGUACCUGCCGCUUCUGCCUGGCCCUAACGGCUCAGGCUAGAAAGAAUAGAGCCGCGAGGCUUAGAGCGGCGCUUUACAAAAAAUCGCUUGCCCCUGAACCCGCUCCGUCGACUUCGGGCACGAAGCCGCCGCUUAAUCCGGGUUCGAUGUCGGCUUCAACAGCUAAAGCCCCUUCGGUCUCGUCUAAGGCGUCCAGAGCCUCCAGAUCGUCUAA
rnacentral:lncRNA from 11 species